rnacentral:rRNA from 1 species
AAAUUGAAGAGUUUGAUCAUGGCUCAGAUUGAACGCUGGCGGCAGGCCUAACACAUGCAAGUCGAACGGUAACAGGAAGCAGCUUGCUGCUUCGCUGACGAGUGGCGGACGGGUGAGUAAUGUCUGGGAAACUGCCUGAUGGAGGGGGAUAACUACUGGAAACGGUAGCUAAUACCGCAUAAUGUCGCAAGACCAAAGAGGGGGGACCUUCGGGCCUCUUGCCAUCGGAU